rnacentral:lncRNA from 1 species
GAGCUCGCCGCCGGCCGUGCGCUACAGCUAGUCAAGGGAUAGGCUAGGGUUAGAGUUUUUAGGAGAAAAGAGGGGGAGAAGGUGCGCCAGGUCAUGGGGAAGGGGAGUGGUAGUCAUCGGGGUGGGGCAAUGCGCCACUGCACUGGCACCGGGGCGUCGCCGCCGACAGCCGUGAGCUGGCUUGAGGAGGAAGACGGUGGGGGUGUCAUGUGUGAGAGCAAAAGAAGUUCCAAGGGAUUUUCCGUUAAGUGUUGGGUUUAAGUGAUAAGGUGGAAAAGUUCAAGGGGACUAAGUGCUAGAUCUAGGGGCUUUAGUGCAAAAGAAAGGGCAAAUCCUCUAGGAUAGUUUUGUGCUGAGGACCUAUCUGCGAAAGCAACUUUUUCUUUUUCUAAUUUAGUUUUAUUUGAAAUGGCUGGAACUUUGGAAAUCCGUAUAAAAUCAUAAAAAAUGAUAAAAUGCAAAGUAAAUUUUGUUGGCUUCCUAAUGCUCAUAGAUACUUAGUAAAAAUACUUGUUCUUGUGAAAUAUGUUUUUCUGUUGCUUAUUAAAAUGCAUGCUGUUUAAUCUCCUUAAUUUUGAAUAAAUAGUUCUCGUGCUCAUAAAAUCCUUGUAAAUUCAUAGUAAUAUAUACUAGUGUUGAAAACUAUUCUGGAAAAUUUUUAGCACUAAAAUGAUGAUAGAACUCUAG